UACAGAGGGUGCGAGCGUUAAUCGGAAUUACUGGGCGUAAAGCGCGCGUAGACGGUUUUGUAAGUCAGAUGUGAAAUCCCUGGGCUCAACCUGGGAACUGCAUCCGAAACUGCCUUGCUAGAGUAUGGGAGAGGGAAGUGGAAUUUCCGGUGUAGCGGUGAAAUGCGUAGAUAUCGGAAGGAACAUCAGUGGCGAAGGCAUCCUUCGUGACCAAUACUGACGCUCAGGUGCGAAAGCGUGGGGAGCAAACAGG
rnacentral:rRNA from 1 species